GUGAGGAAUAUUGGUCAAUGGGCGGGAGCCUGAACCAGCCAAGUCGCGUGAAGGAAGAAGGAUCUAUGGUUCGUAAACUUCUUUUGCAGGGGAAUAAAGUGCAGGACGUGUCCUGUUUUGUAUGUACCCUGAGAAUAAGGAUCGGCUAACUCCGUGCCAGCAGCCGCGGUAAUACGGAGGAUCCGAGCGUUAUCCGGAUUUAUUGGGUUUAAAGGGUGCGUCGGUGGUUUGAUAAGUCAGCGGUGAAAGUUUGCAGCUUAACUGUAAAAAUGCCGUUGAAACUGUCGGACUUGAGUGUAAAUGAGGUAGGCGGAAUGCGUGGUGUAGCGGUGAAAUGCAUAGAUAUCACGCAGAACUCCGAUUGCGAAGGCAGCUUACUAAGCUACAACUGACACUGAAGCACGAAAGCGUGGGGAUCAAACAGGAUUAGAAACCCCAGUAGUCC
rnacentral:rRNA from 1 species